GUAGUUAAUGGUUUCAGUGUGCUUAGAAAAAUAGGUUCCUGACACAAAGUAGGCUGAAAUCCUGGCCCAGCCACUUACUGAGCGACUUUGUGUAUGUGUUUUAACCUCUCUGAGCUCCACUAGUGAUUUUCUUUUUACAGUUGUGCUGAGAUGUGGAAAGAUGAAAAAAAAUCAGAUUUUUUUUAUAAAUACAGAACCACCAAAUUAACCAAUCCUAGUCCUAUCCCUCUAUUUUCUAUGAGAUGAUAUUCAUCCUUAUUGUUAAAGAAUCAUUUUUGUUGGAUUUUCUCUUACUUGGAGCUCAAAAUGUCUUAACUGGUACAUCUUCUCUUUUCAGUACUUCAGUAAGUGAAGAUAUACAUAAGAGAACAGAGCAUAAAACUGUCCUAAUUUUGUUCAUCUACUACUUUUGUUCUAAUAUUCUCUACCAGGUUAAUCUAAACCCAGAGAGUUUAUGUUAGCGUGUGUGUGUGUGUGUGUGUGUGUGUGUGUUAUAUUUGUAUGUGUGCAGGUAACUAUUGUUAUUUAAACAAUUCACAUGAGACAUAGUUGAAAAAAGUUGACUGGAACUGGUUUUAUGAACAGUAUAUUCUAGGUGUAUAUUGGGGAAUAGUUAUCAAACCAAAUCAACUGAUAAGAAGUCUGUGUUCUACAAAAAAUCAGUUUAUCUUUCUCUUUACACUUGGGAAAUAGACCAAGAACCUGGUUUUCUGUGGGAAAAAAAUGUUAUGAAUCCUGAAAACUCCUUCUGCCUAUAAACCUCCUUUGAAUGUUCAUGUCCUCUAAUAUUACAGGAUAAUCACUUUACUGCAAUAUCCUCAGAAGAAUUUGAAGCUUUGUCAUUUCCUGGUUAAAGAUUUCAUUAUUUUCUCCUGCCAUAAACCUAGUCAUCAAGAAGUCAUUGGUUGUUUAAUUUUAAGUUAAUAUACCUUGUCCACUUAAAUCUGGGAAAUUCACUUGCAAAAAUAACUCCACACAUUUCGUGUUCUUUAAGGACUGCAGUAAAACUUUACUGAGUGACCUGGUACCCUUAGCAAACAGGGACUUAGUUUUAAAUAUUUGAAUGAGAAAUGCAAGUAUGAUUGCUUAUAUCUUUAAAAUUUACAAAGUUCACAACUGUGUCCUGAUAGGUAGCCAAUGGAGGUUAUGUUAUAAAUGUGUCCUUUUAAAAGUGUCUUCCUUGUCCCUUUUCUUAUCACUCUGCUUUACUUUUAAAAUCAUUUUUAUUAGCCAAGUUAGAAGAAGAAACAUAAUCUGGGCCUGGUUCCAAAAUAUCAAACAUGAAUAACCCAGGGUAACUUCUAGGUCAAAUUAAUGGUUCAUUAGAACAUUGUGUUUAAAUCUACCUGAGUGAGUAAACAUCUCAUUUUUGGCUGUUUCCAGAAUUUUAUGAGACAUUGUCAUCCAGAGACUUUGACAAUGGUAGUUUAUUUGUCCCAUUGUAAAGAAUUUCAGAGCAACAAUAAAUUAGCUCAUUAAAUUAAUGUCUGGAUAGAUUUACUUACUAUAAUGAGAAAAAUCUUUGAUUAUUUUUGUAUUUUUGAUGACUUUUUUUUGACAUAGGUCAAAUUAUAAAAAUUCACAUUUGCAUCCACUUAUGGAAUGGCAGAAGUUUAUCAGAAAAAAAAUGCAAAAUAAUUUCCAGAUCUCAGUUAAAAUUGACAUUUUUUUUUUACAGCAACAUUUGCUAAGAAUGAUAACCUUCAGUGACAUUUCACAUGCAUCAAGGAGACAGGCCAAUAGACAAAGUUUCCAGGGGUCAUCCUUUUGUCCUUUGCCCCUUUAACAUUUAAGCACUGCAAACAAGUAUCUCCAACUCUUCUCAGAUAAUCCAGUUCCUAAACAUGAUGCCUAUGAAGGGCUGAAGGGCGCUGCUUGGGCAUAAAGGUCUCUAUUGACAUAACUCUAUAAAAGUGUUGCUCAUGAUUCACCUGAAUUGGAGGAGAAAGAGGGUCAAAUCCCUUCUUGGCAGUUGAUACUCAUUAUCUUAAGGGAAGCUGUGACGAAACUCAGCAGUACACAGUUUACAUUAUUGGCUCUGAAGAUUGACCAGAGCUCCCUAAUAAUGAGCACUUAUUUAAUGCUUUAUAGUCAUUAGAAGUGGUAUAUAUCAGUCAUACUUGGAGAUGGUAGUUGGCUUACGUUGCCAAAUGUCGCUCAUUUCUCAGGAAGCCAUCUGAAGGAAAUUUCUGAGACAUUGUGUCUCAUUGUUCCCAAUAGCUGGAUAAUUUGUAUGAGAUUGGAAAGCAGUGGAACUGGUCCACACUAUGUCCUUCUGUGAAGUUCUUCAUUCCAGGCACAGAUAAUACUUUGAGGAAAAUAAAAUGACUACUGUACCUAUUGUGUUCUCAGUUGCCUCUCUAACCAUGUAAACGAAUUAAGAUGCAAGACCAGUGUGUGGGAGCAGGGUAGAGGAUGGUGGAGAAGAAAAAAUGGAAGAAGAAAAAAAAAAUAAAGAAGGUUGACAAAUGCUUAAGAAGAGAAGAGAGUGAUUUGAUUUACUGCUCCUUUAAUCACCUGUGCCCUAUACUCCCUUUUGGGGUACAAGACACAAGACAGAAUGGCCACAGCUGUGCCCUUGGUGUUCUAGGUAUAUCCCAAUCCUAUACCUUCUAUAGGUUACUAUUGGUUUUAUUUCUGUGUUUACUGAGUUCCUCUGGUCAGCGGCAUGAACUUUUACUCUGUUUUUGGUGUGAAACAAUUCCUUUACCCUGGGCAAGGAAUGUACUAGGAGACUUAAGUUACAUGCAUUUAGACUUACUUAAUACAAUAAGUCUUUAUGUAUUUCAGAGAGAGGCUUAUAUUUCCAAGUAUCUGUAGGCAAGUGCUAUCCUUUCUUGGACCCAUUAUGAACUCAGGUAAAUGAGAUACUAGCCAUGAAAUGGGUCAAUGGCAUGAAUGGGGAAUGCCCUUCACAGUUACGUUGGAUAUUUCCGUUUUCUUGGUUUCGCAAGAAAUAAAAGCUCUGGAUGUGGGUGGGGUAAGACUAAUAAACAAAUAAUGUGAUUGUUCCCAGUAGUCUUGGAUUGACAGUUAUUCAUUAAUUUGUUUAUUAAUUCAUUCCUUCUUUCAUUCACUUACUCAAAUAUCUACUGAGAGCUUAAAAUGUACCUGGCAUUGCAAAACAUGAAAGAUGCAAUGAUGAGCAAUAAUAGACAUAAUUAGAUCACUGGUCUACUAUCAUAGAGCUCAAUGGCCACUUUUUAGCCAGUGAGAGUCAUUUCUCAUUAUUACUUUAGUUUUGAAUGUCCCUUUUAUAAUUAAUAUCCACCUCCCCAUCACAACUGUGAAUUACAGUUUCAUUAAUCAAUUCUACAAUUUGGGAGUGAUAAGAAUAUUCCUGCAAACUUCUUUUAGUUUGGCAUAGCAACCUUUCAGCAAAAAUGCAUUAGACUUUGGUUUAAUUUUACUCAUAGAGAAAGAAAUGGACAGAAGCUGGACCAAAUUUGGAGGCCAAGGGUCACAGAUCAUCUAUUCUCUGAGUUUGCUUCAAAUACCCCUCAUAUGAUUCCAGAUACAGAAAAACUUGUCAUGAGAGGAAAGUGAUCUUUCUGAAUCACAGAGGAGGAGAAACCUAUUGACAGAGAGUGAAAUUUUUGGUCUCACUGCUUAAGUAAGAAUUUUCAAAGCAAACACUUUCAACGUUCCACUUACAAAACUGUUUACAGAGAAAAUACACCCUGUGUUUGCUGUGGGGUCUGGAAUGUAGCCUUACAAAUAAAGCCAGGGAGGAUUCCUGGGGGAAAAAUGGUCAAACUGUAGAAAAACAAAGACAGAUUUUAGAUUCUCAAGUUGCUUUUUCUUUGCGAGGCUUCAAAUCUAGGCCUGGCUCAUACCUGUUUAGUGUUAUCUAUGGAAAUCGCCAGCCACCUGCUUCUGCCUUUUCUCUUUCAUGAAGAUGAUGGUGCAGCUCAGCAUACAAUCAACUCCUCCUCACUGGGUUUAAUGUCACUAUUUUUACUGAGAAAAAUUCUCAAUGCUCAGAGCUAACUCUGACUGUUUAAUCUGAGGGUGCCUAUUAGAAGUAAUGUUAUUACUGCAAAGACAGAAACAAGCAAAUGGCCCAGGUUCCCUGCACUUUUCUCUCCAUCAACUCACGCCUGCUAUUCCUCAUUCUAGAGCAUGAACCUGAAGUCGUUAUUCAUGUGCAUAACACCAAAUUCACACACAGACAGAAACUGAAAUAUUUUAAUACAUUUUAUUUUUAUUAGCCUAAAAUAAUGCUUCUAAGAUUCUUUCUUUCUUUCUUACUUUCUUUCUUUCUUUCUUUCUCUCUUUCUUUCCUUCCUUCCUUCCUUCCUUCCAUCUUUCUUUCUUUGUCUUUUUAGGGUCAUGCCCAUGGCAUAUGAAAGUUCCCAGGCUAGGGGUCGAAUCAGAGCUACCAGCUGCUGGCCUACACCAAAGUCACAGCAACUUGGGAUCUGAACCAUAUCUGUGACCUACACCACAGCUCAUGGUGAUGCUGGAUCCCUGACUCACUGAGCAAAGCGAGGGAUUGAACGUGCAUCCUCAUAGAUACUAGUUGGAUUUGUUUCUGCCACGAUAGGAGCUCCCUAAGAUCAUUUCUGAUAUACAGCAGGGACUAGCAACAUGAUGGUUUCCCUCAUUUAAAACAACAGUUGUAAUUGUUCAUUCCUUCUCUCAUUUACUUACUCUUUCAAUAAUAUUUAUAAAGCACUUAAUAUAUGCAUGGCACUGGGGAUGAGAUGGAAGAGAAAUCAAAUGUUUUCUGCUCUCAUGGGGCUAAGAGUCUAGUGAGAGAGAUUGUUCCUGAGAAAGCUGUAUGUUGAUUGAGUCUUUACAAAUUUAUAUUAGAAUUCAACAUGUAGUUUGGUCUUAAAAUGAAGUUCUCCAUGAAUAUUAUUGUAAAGCACUGGCUUGUAAAGUAUGUAUUUGGUUAAGCCAGAUAUAUCAGGCUUUAUUAAAGCUAGGAACAUAUUUACUUUCAAACAGGAGAAUAUCUUCCUUUAACAAGGUUUCUGCAAAUGAUUAUAAUGUAGAGGUACAACACUUUCAGUACAUGACAAGGAAGAAGCUAUAGUACGAAUUGCAGUGUACUGAUACACUCACAGUGACAUAGAUUUAAAGAAAGAACAGCUGCAUAGACAAGUAAACAUAAUCCAGUGUAUGUGCUUUACUACGAAUGUGAGAACACCUCAUAGCAGGAGAAGUGAGGAGCAGAGUGAUGGGGAGAAGAGUUUAAUAAAAGCUUCCAGAACCCGGACCUUAAGAACUAGUAGAAGUGACCAGAAAAAGGAAGAAAUGGUGGAGAAAAAGGAAUAAAUGCACAGAGAAUUAAAGACUCAGCCAGCCAUAAAAUCAUUCUCAUCAUUCCUUUAGUGAAAAAAAAAAAAAAAA
rnacentral:lncRNA from 1 species